rnacentral:misc_RNA from 1 species
UGAUCACCAAUAUUUACAAUAAAAGCAUGAGAAGCUGGCUUCACUGUGAUCCAAUCAUCUCCUCGCCGGACUUGAAGACCGGUGACAUGAUCGUCCGGCAAGAGAAGGGUCAUGCCACCGGGGUCGGAAUGGGAUGAUAAACCAAGGGUUAAGUGAGGUUGUGGACACUUAGGAUAAAAGUUCACUCUUAGACAUGCCCCAAUGUUCUCACCACCAAAUGAAUCUUGUAGACGUGCCUCUCCUAAUCCAAGAUUUAUCGAUAAUACCUUCAUCAACCUUCCACAUAGCUCCACCACUUGUUUUCCAUAUUCGUCAAUCACUUCCCUGCAAUUAGCUGGUAGACCAGGCCACUUCUUAUAGUCUUUUAAACACAAGGGAAGAUAGUGAAGAAAGUAGUAAUCACUCCAAUCGAGAAUGGCUCCUUUCUCUACUCCUAAUCUGCUACCAUAACCUUCAUAAGUCUUGGGAGAAUUUGCAUAUGUUUGCUUCAACUCCAUCGGCAAAUGAAAGAAUUCUCUCCAUACUUCUCGAGCUCGGUCGAGCAACUCAGGCUUAACUCCAUGGUUGAUAACUUGGAAGAAUCCCC